rnacentral:tRNA from 1 species
UAGCUCAGUGGUAGAGCACUUGCCUAGUAUGAAACCCUGGGUUCAAUUCCCAG